UGGGGAAUUUUGGACAAUGGGCGCAAGCCUGAUCCAGCAAUGCCGCGUGCAGGAUGAAGGCCUUCGGGUUGUAAACUGCUUUUGUACGGAGCGAAAAGGUCUGCCCUAAUACGGUGGGCUCAUGACGGUACCGUAAGAAUAAGCACCGGCUAACUACGUGCCAGCAGCCGCGGUAAUACGUAGGGUGCAAGCGUUAAUCGGAAUUACUGGGCGUAAAGCGUGCGCAGGCGGUUAUGCAAGACAGAUGUGAAAUCCCCGGGCUCAACCUGGGAACUGCAUUUGUGACUGCAUAGCUGGAGUGCGGCAGAGGGGGAUGGAAUUCCGCGUGUAGCAGUGAAAUGCGUAGAUAUGCGGAGGAACACCGAUGGCGAAGGCAGCCUCCUGGGCCAGUACUGACGCUCAUGCACGAAAGCGUGGGGAGCAAACA
rnacentral:rRNA from 1 species